GAAUAAGAAGUAAAACAUUACAUUCAGUUUCGACCUGAAAAAAUGGUAUAAUUAUACCCUUAUUCU
rnacentral:tRNA from 3 species